rnacentral:rRNA from 1 species
GACGAACGCUGGCGGCGUGCUUAACACAUGCAAGUCGAACGGACAGGCCCUGCUUUUGUGGGGUGCUCGAGUGGCGAACGGGUGAGUAACACGUGAGUAACCUGCCCUUGACUUUGGGAUAACUUCAGGAAACUGGGGCUAAUACCGGAUAGGAGCUCCUGCUGCGUGGUGGGGGUUGGAAAGUUUCGGCGGUUGGGGAUGGACUCGCGGCUUAUCCGCUUGUUGGUGGGGUAGUGGCUUACCAAGGCUUUGACGGGUAGCCGGCCUGAGAGGGUGACCGGCCACAUUGGGACUGAGAUACGGCCCAGACUCCUACGGGAGGCAGCAGUGGGGAAUAUUGCACAAUGGGCGGAAGCCUGAUGCAGCAACGCCGCGUGCGGGAUGACGGCCUUCGGGUUGUAAACCGCUUUCGCCUGUGACGAAGCGUGAGUGACGGUAAUGGGUAAAGAAGCACCGGCUAACUACGUG